UACAGAGGGUGCGAGCGUUGUCCGGAAUCACUGGGCGUAAAGGGCGCGUAGGCGGCGCGGUAAGCGUGCGGUGAAAGCCCGGGGCUCAACCCCGGGUCGGCCGUGCGGACUGCCGGGCUGGAGCACUGUAGAGGCAGGUGGAAUUCCGGGUGUAGCGGUGGAAUGCGUAGAGAUCCGGAAGAACAUCGGUGGCGAAGGCGCUCUGCUGGACCAUAACUGACACUCAGGGACGAAAGCUAGGGGAGCGAAUGGG
rnacentral:rRNA from 1 species